GCGUUUGUGGUGUAGUUGUCAGCACGCUCGACGCGUAUUCGAGAGGUUCGUGGUUCGAGUCCCGGAGAGCACA
rnacentral:tRNA from 1 species